rnacentral:lncRNA from 1 species
CACACAUCGCUUUUGUUGCUGAACAACCCACCCUUCCAUAAUGCAUGACCUCCAAGGUUCAUCAUAAGACUCCUUCCAGUCAGCCACAAGGGGUCAGACGGCCAAGCUGCAGCUGGCAAAGCAGAAGGCUCAGGAUCACCCAGAAGAUGAGGGCUGUCAGGAGAAGAUCCAGGAGAUCAAGCAAGACAUCAUAAAAAAUAAAGAGGCCCUGAGUGAGAUCCUGCAGGACUUUAAAUACGACUCGGAGGAGUCGGAGUGAUGGGGACUCCCUGGAGGCUGCUGCCCAGACAGGGAUUGAUGGACUCCUCUGCUACAACUUUCCUCUUUGUAUUCAUUUGCCUAAGUUAUUGAUCCCUCCCUCGCGCCACCUGACUGCUGCAGUUUCUUGCGUCCCAGGGUUAUUCCGUACCCUGUGUGUCUCUGCGUGUGUAUGUCUGUGUGGCCUUAGCAAAAAAGCCUUUUUUCUCUUGUCCCGUCUUGUAAAUAUUUUUAAGG